rnacentral:snRNA from 1 species
UGUUUCCAUUCGAAGCCUCAGGA